rnacentral:lncRNA from 1 species
CAGGUAACUCCACCUACCCAACUCGCAGCAGGAGCGUCCGGCUCUGACUUAGAGAAGGAUCUGGUUCCAGGGAAUUUUGUCACCAAGAGCAAGUCCUGUGACCCCCAGUGAGAGACAGGGCCAUGGAAAAUGGAGGUGCAAAUCUUAGGAGCUGCACCCCAACCUCUGUGCAGACUGAACUGGGAAAAGUCGAGCUGUGCACUGCGAAGCUGCAGAGAGGACCUGCCUGAGAAGAGGUCAACCC